UACGUAGGGCGCAAGCGUUGUCCGGAAUUAUUGGGCGUAAAGAGCUCGUAGGCGGCCUGUUGCGUCCGCUGUGAAAUCCCGGGGCUCAACCCCGGGCCUGCAGUGGAUACGGGCUGGCUAGAGGCAGGCAGGGGAGAACGGAAUUCCUGGUGUAGCGGUGAAAUGACGCAGAUAUCAGGAGGAACACCGGUGGCGAAGGCGGUUCUCUGGGCCUGUACUGACGCUGAGGAGCGAAAGCGUGGGGAGCGAACAGG
rnacentral:rRNA from 1 species